rnacentral:rRNA from 1 species
CCUACGGGAGGCUGCAGUGGGGAAUAUUGCACAAUGGGGGAAACCCUGCUGCAGCGACGCCGCGUGAGUGAAGAAGUAUCCCGGUAUGUAAAGCUCUAUCAGCAGGGAAGAAAAUGACGGUACCUGACUAAGAAGCCCCGGCUAACUACGUGCCAGCAGCCGCGGUAAUACGCAGGGGGCAAGCGUUAUCCGGAAUUACUGGGAGUAAAGGGUGCGUAGGUGGUAUGGCAAGUCAGAAGUGAAAACCCAGGGCUUAACGCUGGGACUGCUUUUGAAACUGUCAGACUGGAGUGCAGGAGAGGUAAGCGGAAUUCCUAGUGUAGCGGUGAAAUGCGUAGAUAUUAGGAGGAACAUCAGUGGCGAAGGCUGCUUACUGGACUGAAACUGACACUGAGGCACGAAAGCGUGGUGAGCAAACAGGAUUAGAUACCCGUGUAGUC